ACCCUAUCAAUAUUGCCUCUGCUUUUUGUGCAUAUGUGGAGUAGUGCAAUAUUGCUUAUAGGGUCU
rnacentral:pre_miRNA from 1 species